CCUUCACCCAUUGUUUCUUCUCCUCUGCUGUGGCAAAAGCUUGCAUGCUGUAAGAGAAUCAGAAGUGAGUGUGAAUAAGUCAUUGUUAGGUGUUACACAGGUAAAAGAAGGCUCUGUUCUCAUAGCUGCGUCCUUUGCUGCAGUAUCAGCAUGAUUGUUACCUAAAAACACAAAAUCAUCACAGUUUUUGGAAUGUGUGACGCAUUUGCAGAUAGCAAUUGACUUUGGUAACAAAAUUGCUUCAAACAAUGCUGCUAUUUUAUCAUGGUUUAGAACAGUCUUACCAUCAGACUUUAGAAAUUUCCUGUGUUUCCACAAUGCCACAAAAUCAUGACAAACCCCAAAAUAGUAACGAGAAUCUGUGUAAUGUUAACUGUUUGCCCUUUAGCAAUUUUGCAAGCCUCCGUCAAUGCUACUAAUUCAGCCGCUUGCGCAGAGCAAUGCGCGGGGAGCGCUCCAGAUGUUAUUGUUGCAUAUGCAGUUGUUACAGCUUAAUUUGUUCUGUUUUUGCCAAUAUUUGGGUCUCUAGAUGCUUAACCAUCAAUGAUUAGAAUUAAGUCAGCAUUUUCUAAGGGGGUUUCUUUUAAAUCUGAUCUUGGUGUACAGACCUGUUCAAAUGUGGCAACACAGUUGUGUUGUUUCCCCAUCCUGCUUCGUAGGGAGCAGUGUAGCAGGAUUUAACACUGUGCAUCUUUUAAUCGUGAUGUUUGGCAUUUCAAAUAGAAUUGCAUUGUACCUGAGCCAUCUGUCGGUUGACAAAUGGGAUGUUUUCUGUUCCAACAGGAUCACAGAGACCGUGCGUGGCACGAGCAAAGUCACAUCAGAGUACCCCACAAUUUCCAUUUAAGAUAAAAUAGCUUUUUCUGCAGAUGCAACAGCUCUCAGGCAUUUUGGCAUGCCUGCCGCUACCGGAUCGAGCUUACUCGAAAAAUAGGCCACAGGUCUCCCCCAUGAUCCUGUAACAGAACAGAAGUCAUGAACCCAUUCUCUCAUCAACAGUUUGUACAAAAUUUCUCUCUGGGUCUGGGAGUCCCAGUGUUAGUGAUGUUUUU
ensembl:lncRNA